rnacentral:rRNA from 1 species
ACAGAGGUCCCAAGCGUUGUUCGGAUUCACUGGGCGUAAAGCGUCCGCAGGUGGCAGUUCAAGUCUGCUGUCAAAGACCGGGGCUUAACUUCGGAAAGGCAGUGGAAACUGAACAGCUAGAGUAUGGUAGGGGCAGAGGGAAUUCCUGGUGUAGCGGUGAAAUGCGUAGAGAUCAGGAAGAACAUCGGUGGCGAAGGCGCUCUGCUGGACCAUAACUGACACUCAGGGACGAAAGCUAGGGGAGCGAAUGGGA